rnacentral:rRNA from 1 species
CCUUUGUACACACCGCCCGUCGCUACUACCGAUUGAAUGGCUUAGUGAGGUCUCCGGAUUGGCUUUGGGGAGCCGGCAACGGCACUCUAUUGCUGAGAAGCUGAUCAAACUUGGUCAUUUAGAGG